UUUUAAGGAAAAAAAAAAGAAGAUGAGAAGACCCCCCAUUCACCCUCUCCUGUUGUUGCUGCUGCCGCUCGUCCCCUUCCUCCAUGGCUCAUCUCUUUUUUUUCUUCUUUUUUUCGCUUCAAAUUUCCUAAAGACCCAACAUCCAACUUUGCGAUUUUGCUAAAACCUCUUAGGAAACAACCUUCAUACUAAUUUUUGGCCAUGAAAAAUCUCAUUUUGAGUUCAUGGGUUUUAGUGUGAGAAAAUGAAGCUAGAGAGAGAAAGGUUCAACAAGAUAAGAAUGAGAAAAUGUGUAAGGAUAGAUUUCAAGUUUGUUGGAGAUUGGAUUCAAGCUUUUGGAAGUGUGAUUUUGAGUAUUUUAACAUCUAAGAGGAAAUCCCCAAGCUUAGACGGAUUAAGGCGACGGAGGACUCAGAGGUGGCCACUCGACCUAGUUAUUUCUUUUCAUAUAAUUGAGAUUUUAUAUUGGGUAUGUAAUAAGGCUGCUUUAAUUUUUACUUAAUUUGGGAGAUUUAAUUAUUCUAUUUUUGUAUUACACCUGUUAGUAAUAGUACGCUGAUUUUCGUGAAAAUAUAAACAAAUUUUUUUCUGGAAA